UACGUAGGGGGCAAGCGUUGUCCGGAAUCAUUGGGCGUAAAGCGCGCGUAGGCGGCCCUGUAAGUCCGCUGUGAAAGUCAAAGGCUCAACCUUUGAAAGCCGGUGGAUACUGCAGGGCUAGAGUCCGGAAGAGGCGAGUGGAAUUCCUGGUGUAGCGGUGGAAUGCGCAGAUAUCUGGAGGAAUACCGGUGGCGAAGGCGGCAUCCUGGACCGACAUUGACGCUGAGGAGCGAAAGCUAGGGGAGCAAACGGG
rnacentral:rRNA from 1 species